UGAAACAAGGGGAAGACUCACAUAGAGGCAGCAGUAGAGAAUCUUGUGCAAUAAACGAAAGUAUGACACAGAGAGGACACAUUUAAUUGAGCCCGUCAAAUUAAGUGCCAGCCGACGCGGUUAAACUUAAGGGCUGGUCUUUAUAAGUAAAAAGGCGUAAAGGAUGUGUAGGCCAAGAAACGACCCAAGUAGGUAAAUGGAAUUUUUCUGGAGCGGUAGAAUGUGAGGAUAGAAAAUAGAACCCCUAAGGUAAAAACUAUUUACCACAAGGUAGGCUGAAACAUGAGAGUGUGGGGAGCAAACAGGAUUAGAGACCCUGGUAGUCCACACUGUGAACUUUGAAGAUGAUGCUUAGCAGACCCGAAAGGUAAAUCUUCCGCCUGAGUAGAACGAUCGCAAGAUUAAAAUUCAAAAACUUUGGCUGUUCACUAUUUCGAUUAGAGGAGCGUGUAGUUUAAUUCGAUGGUCCGCGUGUUACCUUACCCCAACUUGAAUCUGUGACCGGUAUUGCAUGGCCGUCGUAAGUUCGUGUAUUAAGCUAGAAGGGACCCAACCCGGGCAUUUGCCCGGAGGAAGUCAGGUCUUAUGAUCCGAAUGUUGGGGGAUUUUAUGCGCUACAUUUUCUUAUAUAAUGGGAAACCUGGAAGGUGAGCCUCUAAAGUAAGAGUUCGGAAGGUCGCUGUAAGACGACUGGAAGUUGGAUUUAAUAGUAAUCGGAAAGUAGGGCGUUCCGGUGAAUUGGUACAAGUGUUAGCACAAAUUGCCCGUCACCUUUACCUAGAAUGGUUAUUCGGACGUCUUCGGUGAUUACGAAUGCCUACGAGGUAAAGCAAGUCGUAACAU
rnacentral:rRNA from 1 species